UUUUGGGGGUGGGGGCUUUGCAUUUUUUAUUUCAGUUCUGAUUUUUUCCCGCUUUCAUGAUUUACGCUUACCACCUAUAAGAUUAGCAGGGGUUAUUGAUUUUUUAAUUUGGGGAGUGAAGGAAGAUGAAUACUCGAACCAGGACCAAUCUGCAACCUAUGAAGGCUCCUGGGAAGCUUGAAAUUGAAAAAAUGUGA